UGGUGGAGAAGUUCCUGGCACCUGCACCUGCGCCGGGGUCCUCUCACCCGCACUCCGGUCCUGUUGCGCCCAGGACGGCGAUGGUGCCGAGGACAAGGACCGGAGGACGACCGUCUCUGCGCGUCCCGCUGCAGCAUUUGUGUCCCAGACUCCGGAGGCAACAUUUUCCGCGACUGGAAAACCGAAAUCGACUUCCUGCUCGUGAGGGAGGACAAGCUGCGACCCCCGCGGCGGGCGUGGUGACAGCGACUCCUGCAAGCGGAGCUGGCGCGAUAAGUUCCAGAGGAACCUGAGCGCGCCGGGCUGCUCCUGGAGGAGGUGGCAGAGAUCCUGGCCUGAACAAUCUAUGGGAAAGAGAAACGUGCAGAGAUGGUCAUGGCCCGUCUGCUGACCGAGGGAGUCUACACUGCAGCCUUCCCACUGCGUGAGGUAGAGAUGACACAAACCCAGCUUUCUUCCACUGCAGGGGCAUCAGGAGAAAAUUCUGGGACUUCCCUGCAGCCCUCCUGCCUUUCCUCUCCCUAGGGCCCCUGUGAUCUGCCCGGGUACCAGGUGCCUGGUGCAGACCUCAACCCUCCACAAUUGUUGUAUUCAUACUGGGCCUGCUGGGGCUGCUGGCAAAAGUACCAGCCCCUGCACCACAUACAGGAGGACUUUGGGGACAAGGAAGCUAUCUGCUUUGGUUGGUGCAUCUGGUGUUGGGGGUGAGGGCUGGGAGCUGGGGGUGAGUACAGAGAUGCAGGCUCAUGAGCAUUCCGUCCCCCCACAUUCUGUCACCUACACAGCCUGGGUGCUGCUCUUGUGGGUACCCUGGUCUUUACCUCUGGCCUAGUUACCAUGGGCACAAAUGUACCAGCGUGAUGACUGGGAGUGCUGGGGGGAUGAGCUGCAUGGGCUGGGUCAGCUGGCUGGUUGAGGAUAGACCCUCCCAGGAUGGGGUACCCCUUGCUCAUAGGGAGGAGAUCUGUGCGAGCAGGAGUUCCUUCCUCGUGUGCUCACUCUGUGAUACUUGUGCCACAUGGAAUAUUUCCGAGAUCUGCCCCGUGGCCAAGGUGAGCCAGGGAAGAGAGCAAGGGAAUGGGUAGGUGUUUGGGACCCAGCACCUUGGGCCUAGCUGCUGGGAAGGCAGUGUGCCCUCUGCAGUGCGCCCUCUCUCCCUCCUCUGCAGAUGGGCUAUCUCUUUGACCAUCUGGGAACUGUGUUCUUUAGCAUCCUCAUGUGCUUCUGGGCCACAGCCUUCCUGGAGCACUGGAAGCACAAGAGUACCACCUUGGCCCACCACUGGGACUGCAGUGACUUCCAGGAAGAGGAAGUGACGCCCAGCUCAGCCCUCCAGGCCCAGAACUCUGCUUCCUGCAGUUCUCAGAGGCCAUAAGGCAUGCUGGGAACAGCUCGGACUCUGGAGUCCAGCAUCCCGGGAUCCAGAUCUGACUCUUCCCUACAAUUUUCCUGGGUCACUUUCCCACCCUCCCCUGACAUCAGGAUGAUAUAAGGUUUGGUGAAGUUAAAUACUAGAGGCAUUUAGAGGCUCAAAGAGAAACUCUUCCUGAAACAGGGAAGAAGGAGAGAAGCGUUCCACUCACCUACCCAUCUAGCCAUCCACCUGUCCAUCCAAACAUCUAAUCAUUGAUCCUGAAUCUGUUUGCUUUUCUCCGUCUCCACUGCCACCCUCACUUUCCCCACCCCCUAGCCCCAGUCCAAACCACAAUUCUCUCUUACCUGAACCCCUGCAGUAGCCUCCCAAUAUAUCUCUCUGCUCUUAUGUUUGCCCCCAUUCAAUCCAUUCCCAGCUGCCAGGGCAAUCUUUUUUUUUUUUUUUUUUCUGUACGCGGGCCUCUCACUGCUGUGGCCUCUCCCGCUGUGGAGCACAGGCUCCGGAU